AAUUCUUUCGGAGACAUCCGAUAAAAUUAGAACGAUACUGAAAAUAUUAGCAUGGCCCAUGCGCAAGAAUGAAAUGCACAAAUCAAGAAAUGAUCCAAAUUUAU
rfam:Brassica oleracea var. oleracea cultivar TO1000 chromosome C1, whole genome shotgun sequence